GCCUGGGUGGCUCAGUCGGUUAGGCAUCAGACUUCGACUCAGGUCAUGAUCUCACGGUUCGUGGGUUCGAACCCCGCGUCGGGCU
rnacentral:tRNA from 1 species